rnacentral:rRNA from 1 species
UGUCUAUUAAUUGUAGACCAGUAUCAAAGGCAACAUGAGGGCCUAUCUGUCUCUUAUAAUAAAUCAAUUAAACUGAUCUUCUAGUAAAAAAGCUAGAAUCUCACCAUAAGACCAGAAGACCCUGUGAAGCUUAAACUAAGCUAUUAAAACAUAUAAUAGCUACUUUUGGUUGGGGCGACCUUGGAAAAAAAAAGAACUUCCAACAAUCAACAUAUAAAACCACACAGGCCAACAAGCCACACACCAACGACCCAGCACAGCUGAUCAUCGAACCAAGUUACUCCAGGGAUAACAGCGCUAUCUUCUUCAAGAGCCCAUAUCAAAAAGAAGGUUUACGACCUCGAUGUUGGAUCAGGACAUCCUAAUGGCGCA